UUAAGCGACUAAGCGUACACGGUGGAUGCCCUGGCAGUCAGAGGCGAUGAAGGACGUGCUAAUCUGCGAAAAGCGCCGGCGAGGUGAUAUGAACCCUUGACCCGGCGAUGUCCGAAUGGGGAAACCCAGUGCAAUCCGUUGCACUAUCGUUAACUGAAUACAUAGGUUAACGAGGCGAACCGGGGGAACUGAAACAUCUAAGUACCCCGAGGAAAAGAAAUCAACCGAGAUUCCCCCAGUAGCGGCGAGCGAACGGGGAGCAGCCCGGAGUCUGAAUCAGCUUGUGUGUUAGUGGAACGGUCUGGAAAGUCCGACGGUACAGGGUGAUAGUCCCGUACACGAAAGCACACUUGCUGUGAACUCGAAGAGUAGGGCGGGACACGUGGUAUCCUGUCUGAAUAUGGGGGGACCAUCCUCCAAGGCUAAAUACUCCUGACUGACCGAUAGUGAACCAGUACCGUGAGGGAAAGGCGAAAAGAACCCCGGCGAGGGGAGUGAAAAAGAACCUGAAACCGUGUACGUACAAGCAGUGGGAGCCUCUUUAUGGGGUGACUGCGUACCUUUUGUAUAAUGGGUCAGCGACUUAUAUUCUGUAGCAAGGUUAACCGUAUAGGGGAGCCGAAGGGAAACCGAGUCUUAACUGGGCGUUAAGUUGCAGGGUAUAGACCCGAAACCCGGUGAUCUAGCCAUGGGCAGGUUGAAGGUUGGGUAACACUAACUGGAGGACCGAACCGACUAAUGUUGAAAAAUUAGCGGAUGACCUGUGGCUGGGGGUGAAAGGCCAAUCAAACCGGGAGAUAGCUGGUUCUCCCCGAAAGCUAUUUAGGUAGCGCCUCGUGAACUCAUCUUCGGGGGUAGAGCACUGUUUCGGCUAGGGGGCCAUCCCGGCUUACCAACCCGAUGCAAACUACGAAUACCGAAGAAUGUUAUCACGGGAGACACACGGCGGGUGCUAACGUCCGUCGUGAAGAGGGAAACAACCCAGACCGCCAGCUAAGGUCCCAAAGUCAUGGUUAAGUGGGAAACGAUGUGGGAAGGCACAGACAGCCAGGAUGUUGGCUUAGAAGCAGCCAUCAUUUAAAGAAAGCGUAAUAGCUCACUGGUCGAGUCGGCCUGCGCGGAAGAUGUAACGGGGCUAAACCAUGCACCGAAGCUGCGGCAGCGACACUAUGUGUUGUUGGGUAGGGGAGCGUUCUGUAAGCCGUUGAAGGUGUGCUGUGAGGCAUGCUGGAGGUAUCAGAAGUGCGAAUGCUGACAUAAGUAACGAUAAAGCGGGUGAAAAGCCCGCUCGCCGGAAGACCAAGGGUUCCUGUCCAACGUUAAUCGGGGCAGGGUGAGUCGACCCCUAAGGCGAGGCCGAAAGGCGUAGUCGAUGGGAAACAGGUUAAUAUUCCUGUACUUGGUGUUACUGCGAAGGGGGGACGGAGAAGGCUAUGUCAGCCGGGCGACGGUUGUCCCGGUUUAAGCAUGUAGGCGGAGGUUCCAGGUAAAUCCGGUACCUUAUUAACGCUGAGGUGUGAUGACGAGGCACUACGGUGCUGAAGUGAUAAAUGCCCUGCUUCCAGGAAAAGCCUCUAAGCAUCAGGUAACACGAAAUCGUACCCCAAACCGACACAGGUGGUCAGGUAGAGAAUACCAAGGCGCUUGAGAGAACUCGGGUGAAGGAACUAGGCAAAAUGGUGCCGUAACUUCGGGAGAAGGCACGCUGAUGUGUAGGUGAAGCCCCUGCGGGCGGAGCUGAAAUCAGUCGAAGAUACCAGCUGGCUGCAACUGUUUAUUAAAAACACAGCACUGUGCAAACACGAAAGUGGACGUAUACGGUGUGACGCCUGCCCGGUGCCGGAAGGUUAAUUGAUGGGGUUAGCGGCAACGCGAAGCUCUUGAUCGAAGCCCCGGUAAACGGCGGCCGUAACUAUAACGGUCCUAAGGUAGCGAAAUUCCUUGUCGGGUAAGUUCCGACCUGCACGAAUGGCGUAAUGAUGGCCAGGCUGUCUCCACCCGAGACUCAGUGAAAUUGAACUCGCUGUGAAGAUGCAGUGUACCCGCGGCAAGACGGAAAGACCCCGUGAACCUUUACUAUAGCUUGACACUGAACACUGGUCCUUGAUGUGUAGGAUAGGUGGGAGGCUUUGAAGCGUGGACGCCAGUCUGCGUGGAGCC
rnacentral:rRNA from 2 species